AGUGAACGCUGGCGGUAGGCCUAACACAUGCAAGUCGAACGGCAGCACAGAGGAGCUUGCUCCUUGGGUGGCGAGUGGCGGACGGGUGAGGAAUACAUCGGAAUCUACUUUGUCGUGGGGGAUAACGUAGGGAAACUUACGCUAAUACCGCAUACGACCUACGGGUGAAAGCAGGGGAUCUUCGGACCUUGCGCGAUUGAAUGAGCCGAUGCCGGAUUAGCUAGUUGGCGGGGUAAAGGCCCACCAAGGCGACGAUCCGUAGCUGGUCUGAGAGGAUGAUCAGCCACACUGGAACUGAGACACGGUGCAGACGCCGACGGGAGGAAGCAGUGGGGAAUAUUGGACAACGGGCGCAAGCCUGAUCCAGCCAUACCGCGUGGGUGAAGAAGGCCUUCGGGUUGUAAAGCCCUUUUGUUGGGAAAGAAAUCCCUCUGGUUAAUACCCGGGUGGGAUGACGGUACCCAAAGAAUAAGCACCGGCUAACUUCGUGCCAGCCGCCGCCGUAA
rnacentral:rRNA from 1 species